CUAUAUAGUCUUCUAGAAGCUGGUACAU
rnacentral:piRNA from 1 species